UCGGAUCGCGACAGGAGGAGCCCCAGACGCCGGCCCUGGUUUUCCCCGAGGCUGCAAAGUUGUGGGCUCGCCCGACUGGCUCGCAGCCUUCUCACGCUUCGCUUCGGGGACUGGGCAGGCACUGUGCUGAACCCAUGACACCACAGCUGCAUGAAUCCUCCAGUAAGAUUCCUGAAGCUUGCUGAGCCCCAUUCUAAGGCCAAGAAGGUGAUGCUAAGUCACACACCCAAGGUCACGCAGCAGACUCUAACACGGUCCUGGCCUCAGGCUCGCUGUCCCUGAAGAUGACUGUCCUGUUGGUCUUCCUGCCCUUACCUUCUGAAGACUGGGGUUCCAGGUAUGUGCUCGUGAGUCUAGUAUAUGUGACUGGAGAUCAGACACAGGGCCUCCUGCACACAAGACAAGCACUCCUCCAAUCAAGCCAAUCAAGUCACAUCUCAA